GGUUGGUAGAAUAUACCAAGGUGGACGAGUUAUUCCUUGCUAAGGAAUUCGGCAAAUUUCUACCGUAACUUCGGGAAAAGGUAGCCCUAUCGAUCAUUGAUUGAUGGGGGGCACAAAAAUGAUCUCAUCGACUGUUUAACAAAAACACAGGUUCCUGCUAAAGCGCAAGCUGAUGUAUAGGAGCUGACGCCUGCCCAAUGUCAGAAGAUUACGGAAGGAGGUUAUUCACCCUCGGGUGGAGAAGCUUCUGACCUAAGUCCUGAUGAAUGGCGGCUGUAACUAUAACGGUCCUAAGGUAGCGAAGUUCCUCGGCGCUUAAUAGGCGUCCCGCAUGAAAGGCGUAACGAGUUGGGCACUGUCUCAACAGGGGACUCGGCGAACAUUGAAAUGGCUGUGAAGAUGCGGCCUACCCGCACCAGGACAAAAAGACCCCGGGAUCUUUACUACAGUUUGGCAUUGGAACAAGAUUUUUGCUGUAGAGCGUAGGAAGGAGACUUUGAAGCUUCAUCGUCAGAUGGGGUGGAGUCGUCAAUGUAACACUUCCCUGUAAUUGUUUUGUUUCUAAUAGAAUCCGUAAUCCGGACAUCUAAACAUUGCCAGAUGGGUAGUUUAAUUGGGGCGAUUUCUUACUAAAAGGUAACGUAAGAUUCCAAAGGUAACCUCAGGUUGGAUGGAAAUCAACCGAAGAGUAUAAAGGCAUAAGGUUGCUUUACUGCAAGACUGACAGGUCGAGCAGUCACGAAAGUGGGGCUUAGUGACCUUCUGAUGGCGCGUGGAAGCGUCAUUGUUCAAAGGAUAAAAGUUACCCCGGGGAUAACAGGCUAGUCUUGCCCGAGCGUCCAAAGCGACGGCAAGGUUCGGCACCUCGAUGUCGGCUCGUCAUAUCCUGGAGCUGAAUAAGGUUCCAAGGGUUGGGCUGUUCGCCCAUUAAAAUGGCACGUGAGCUGGGUUCAAACCGACGUGAGUCAGGUUGGUCUCUAUCCGGUGUGGGCGUUCGAAUUCUGAGAGGAUUGGCCCUUAGUACGCGAGGACCAGGGUCAGGUAACCUCUAGUGCACCAGUUGUUCCACCAGGAGCAUAGCUGGGUAGCUACGUUGCUAUCUUGAUAACCACUGAAAGCAUCUAAGUGGGAAGCAGGCCUCAAGAUGAGAAUUCGUUGAAGACUCCUAGUAGACUACUAGGUUGAUAGGUACCAGGUGUACGUACAGUAAUGUAUUUAGCCGAGGUAUACUAACUGUCUCUU
rnacentral:rRNA from 1 species